GACGAACGCUGGCGGCGGGCUUAACACAUGCAAGUCGAACGGAAAGACGCUGCUGUUGUGGGGUGCUCGAGUGGCGAACGGGUGAGUAACACGUGAGUAACCUGCCCUUGACUUUGGGAUAACUUCAGGUAAAUGCGGCAAAUACCGCCGAGGAGCUUCUGCUGCAUGAAGGGGGGUGGAAAGGUUCGGCGGUUGGGGAUGGACUCGCGGCUGAGCAGCUUGUUGGUGGGGUAGUGGGGUACAAAGGGUUGGCGGGGUAGACGGCCUGGGAGGGUGACCGGCCACAAGGGGACUGAGGGACGGCCCAGACUGCUACGGGAGGCAGCAGGGGGGAAUAUGGCGCAAUGGGGGGAAGCCUGAGGCAGCAACGCCGCGUGCGGGAUGACGGCCUUCGGGGGGUAAACCGCUUUCGCCUGUGACGAAGCGUGAUUGACGGUAAUGGGUAAAGAAGCACCGGCUAACUACGUG
rnacentral:rRNA from 1 species